rnacentral:rRNA from 1 species
GAGUUUGAUCGUGGCUCAGGAUGAACGCUGGCGGCGUGCCUAAUACAUGCAAGUCGAGCGAACGGACGAGAAGCUUGCUUCUCUGAUGUUAGCGGCGGACGGGUGAGUAACACGUGGAUAACCUACCUAUAAGACUGGGAUAACUUCGGGAAACCGGAGCUAAUAUCGGAUAAUAUUUUGAACCGCAUGGUUCAAAAGUGAAAGACGGUCUUGCUGUCACUUAUAGAUGGAUCCGCGCUGCAUUAGCUAGUUGGUAAGGUAACGGCUUACCAAGGCAACGAUGCAUAGCCGACCUGAGAGGGUGAUCGGCCACACUGGAACUGAGACACGGUCCAGACUCCUACGGGAGGCAGCAGUAGGGAAUCUUCCGCAAUGGGCGAAAGCCUGACGGAGCAACGCCGCGUGAGUGAUGAAGGUCUUCGGAUCGUAAAACUCUGUUAUUAGGGAAGAACAUAUGUGUAAGUAACUGUGCACAUCUUGACGGUACCUAAUCAGAAAGCCACGGCUAACUAC